GGCAAAACAUAAAAUGGUCAGCAUGGAAAAGGUGAGACACGGGAAUGGAAUGCCGAGAUUUCUCAGUAGCAGGCCAGAAGAUGGCCAAGCAUCAUUGGGUGUCCGCACAUCUGUAAUCCUAGCACUCUGGAGGCCGAGGCAGGCGGAUCUCAGAGGCCAGCUUGGUCUACAGAGUUAGUUCCAAGACAACUAGAAAUACACAGAGAGACUCUGUCUU
rnacentral:lncRNA from 1 species